AAACUUUCAACAACGGAUCUCUUGGUUCUGGCAUCGAUGAAGAACGCAGCGAAAUGCGAUAAGUAAUGUGAAUUGCAGAAUUCAGCGAAUCAUCGAAUCUUUGAACGCACAUUGCGCCCGCCAGCAUUCUGGCGGGCAUGCCUGUUCGAGCGUCAUAU
rnacentral:rRNA from 1 species